UACGUAGGUGGCAAGCGUUGUCCGGAUUUACUGGGCGUAAAGAGCGCGCAGGCGGUCGUUCAAGUCGCGUGUGAAAGCCCCCGGCUCAACUGGGGAGGGUCACGCGAUACUGAUCGACUGGAAGGCAGGAGAGGGUAGUGGAAUUCCCGGUGUAGUGGUGAAAUGCGUAGAUAUCGGGAGGAACACCAGUGGCGAAGGCGGCAUCCUGGCCAUGUCCUGACGCUCAGGGGCGAAAGCGUGGGGAGCAAACCGG
rnacentral:rRNA from 1 species